UACGGGGGGGGCAAGCGUUGUUCGGAAUUACUGGGCGUAAAGGGCUCGUAGGCGGCCAACUAAGUCAGACGUGAAAUCCCCAGGCUUAACCUGGGAACUGCGUCUGAUACUGGAUGGCUUGAAUCCGGGAGAGGGAUGCAGAAUUCCAGGUGUAGCGGUGAAAUGCGUAGAUAUCUGGAGGAAUACCGGUGGCGAAGGCGGCAUCCUGGACCGGCAUUGACGCUGAGGAGCGAAAGCUAGGGGAGCAAACAGG
rnacentral:rRNA from 1 species